UACGAAGGGGGCUAGCGUUGUUCGGAAUUAUUGGGCGUAAAGAGCUCGUAGGCGGUCUGUCGCGUCUGCUGUGAAAACCCGAGGCUCAUCCUCGGGCCUGCAGUGGGUACGGGCAGACUAGAGUGCGGUAGGGGAGAUUGGAGUUCCUGGUGUAGUGGUGGAAUGCGCAGAUAUCAGGAGGAACACCGAUGGCGAAGGCAGAUCUCUGGGCCGUAACUGACGCUGAGGAGCGAAAGCGUGGGGAGCGAACAGG
rnacentral:rRNA from 1 species